UCUACGGGCGGCAGCAGUGGGGGAUAUUGCACAAUGGGGGAAACCCUGAUGCAGCGACGCCGCGUGUGGGAAGACGGUCCUCUGGAUUGUAAAACACUGUCCCCAGGGACGAAGAUGACGGUACCCGGGGAGGAAGCUCCGGGUAACUACGUGCCAGCAGCCGCGGGAAUACGUAGGGAGGGAGCGUGGUCCGGAAUUACUGGGUGUGAAGGGAGCGUAGGCGGGGCUGCAAGGUGGGUGUCAAAACUACCGGCUCAACUGGUAGGCGCACUCAAAACUGCAGCUAUUGAGUGAAGUAGAGGCAGGCGGAAUUCCUAGUGUAGCGGUGAAAUGCGUAGAUAUUAGGAGGAACACCAGUGGCGAAGGCGGCCUGCUGGGCUUUUACUGACGCUGAGGCUCGAAAGUGUGGGGAGCAAACAGGAUUAGAUACCCGGGUAGUC
rnacentral:rRNA from 1 species